UUGGAGGGCAAGUCUGGUGCCAGCAGCCGCGGUAAUUCCAGCUCCAAUAGCGUAUAUUAAAGUUGUUGCAGUUAAAAAGCUCGUAGUUGAAUUUCGGGGUUCUACCGUUGGUCGGGCUUUGUCUGUACUGGUGUGUAGAAUUUCUACCUUCUGGGGAACCAUCAUGCUAUUAAUUUAGCGUGGUGGGAAACCAGGACCUUUACCUUGAAAAAAUUAGUGUGUUCAAAGCAGGCUUAUGUCUGAAUACAUUGGCGUGGAAUAAUAGAAUAGGACGGUGGUCCUGUUUUGUUGGUUUCUGAAUCACCGUAAUGAUUAAUAGGGAUAGUUGGGGGCAUUAGUAUUCAAUUGUCAGAGGUGAAAUUCUUGGAUUUAUUGAAGACUAACUUCUGCGAAAGCAUUUGCCAAGGAUGUUUUCAUUAAUCAAGAACGAAAGUUAGGGGAUCGAAGACGAUCAGGUACCGUCGUAGUCUUAACCAUAAACUAUGCCGACUAGGGAUCGGACGAUGUUAAUUUUUCUUGACUCGUUCGGCGCCUUACGGGAAAC
rnacentral:rRNA from 1 species